rnacentral:lncRNA from 1 species
GGGCAAUUCACCUUUUCUUUAAAUACUCAUGUCACAUUUGUGCUGUUGCCAAUGCUUCUCAGACCCUCCAGAUGAGUACAAGUAUCACACAAAGACAUUCUGGAGAAUGGCAGAAAAGUGAGCGAAGCCAGAAAAACAACACUUCAAAAGGAGACGGGGUCAAGGUGGCAGGCAAGAUGGUCAAAUAGAAGUAGCUUCAGUCUGCAGCUCCCAGUGAGAUCAACACAGAAGGAAACAAUGCCAAGAAUACGUUAAUCUAAACCCAUGAUGUUUCUACAUCUCAAAGAACAGAGAGAAAAGGAAACUGGAGAGAGGCCAGAAGUGACCAACUCUAUUCCCUCAUUUCUGUGUUAUACUCCCUUUGUCUAAUCUUCCCUACCCUACCAGGUGGUUUAAGAAUUUUAUCCUUUCUCCAGACUAGAAGAGGAAGUGGGGGCCGGAAUUAGGUGUAUACAAAUUGUUGGAAAGCCUUUGUGUGGAUUUGGAGGGCUGAAGUAGAGUAUCAUUUUUACAAAGCAGCCCAAGCCUCUAAUCUGAGCAGGAAGAUUCACACUCAUUCUCUGGCAUGAGUCCUAUCAGGAGGAUCAAUGAAGCCAAGGCUGUAGAAAUAAAUAAUUAAUCUCUCCACCCAAGGAGGCUAGUAAACAAUAUUCAAUACGUGAAUACUGAGUUCUGCCAAGAGGAAGAAGCAUAUAAACCAGGCAACUGCUGAACGCAUUGCCAAAAAGGGAGACUUACGCAUCAUUCACUAAAGCUUUCCAAAAACUAAAUCAGAUCCAAGAACAGAUAAACUCCUGCAGAAUGACAAUGGUGGAGAAAUUGACCUCCCAGCAUUGCAGACUUACAUCAGUUGUUCUGAUGUUCUUAGUUAUAUCAGAUUCCUUCCAGAAUCUUCUAAAUAUAUCAGACGGUCAGACACAACCCCAGGCCCUAAUAAAAAACCCUGAUGCUGGCCUACAGAUGUGCAAUUUAAUAAA